AAGGAAAGAUUUUGGAUAAUAUUUGUGGCUACAGAAUAUUAUUGUUAUUUCAUUACAACAGGAAUGUGCAUAUUUAAAUUGAUAAGUGUUAAUAAGUGCCAGUAAGUUUUGAUUAUCUACUGUGACUGUAAUUGAGCAGACAAAUAGGUUAAAUAAUUUGAAAAGUGAUUGCUAAUGUUAUGUUUUGUUGCACACCGUGAAAAUGAAUACCUCAAAAGAGCAAGAUGUCAUGUACCCAUUGUGCAGCACUUUGUUUACAUUUGCAGCACUCAUGACACUUGCUUUACAGCAGCUUAAUUGAUACACGGCAGUACUAUUUGGACGGAGUUGGAGCUCGCAUCCACCGUGCAUGCUGUUUUGUGCCUGAGUUUUGUUGAGCCGAAAAUAAAGGCAGCGUUACAAAGUCAUCUGACCGCUCGUCAUUUUAGAUACUGAAUGCAUUACUGACUUUUUUUCUGCAUGUUUAAAUUAUCAUCUAACCACUGUGCCGUCAUGAUAAGCUUACAUACUGGACAUCACUUGUCCAAAUGUCAGUGGUGAAAAUGAUGUGAUUGGGAUGCUUUUUAUGAAGAAUGGUAGUUGUAUUAAAGGGGAACUGAAGAGCUUUUCAGAUUUCGCUCUUAAGUGUUUUACUCAGUUGAAUUGUAUUAAAUGCGUCAUUCGCUCUCUCAAAAAGUCACAUAAAAAAAAAAAUAAUAAUAAUUGACCGCGUAGUUUUUGAGUUAUGGCCAUAGCAACACCAUAGCAACGAGGGACGCGCCGUCCUGCCGACCCCUACCUCGUGACGUAACUUCCAGGAAGCCUCGCCACCACUCUGAACACGGAAAUAUAGCACCACGCUAUCCUCGCCAUAUAUUGCAAACAUUUUCUGGGUUUUACUCGCGGGAUUCGUCAUGCCAUCUCGAUGUGUAGCGAUAUGAAUUACUCACAGGAAGACUCGAGACUCUAGGAGUGGUCCAAAAAAAAAACUUCUGCAAAGCCACGACAGCUUUGAAAACCUACAACAAUGCAACCUUGGUUUUCCAAAGACGAAGCCAAACAUAAAAAAUUAAGUGGCGGAAACCCUCAACACGAUGAAAAAAGCGUUGCAAGUCAGUUGCCACCCAGUUUCCCAAAAUCAAGAGAGAGUGGGUCGAGUCAUAUGAUGACCGAAGUGAUGCGGUGUCCAGCGAUGACGACUGAAGAGAUCCUAUGAGGCCUGCCAGAUGCUGAAUUUCUUCCAUCUGCGACAUCAGAUGACGAUGAUUUAGGAGAAAUAAAUGUAGCAAAUUUUGAUGAUAUGAAAUCAUAAACUAGUCAUA